rnacentral:rRNA from 1 species
GACGAACGCUGGCGGCGUGCUUAACACAUGCAAGUCGAACGGAAAGGCCCUGCUUUUGUGGGGUGCUCGAGUGGCGAACGGGUGAGUAACACGUGAGUAACCUGCCCUUGACUUUGGGAUAACUUCAGGAAACUGGGGCUAAUACCGGAUAGGAGCUCCUGCUGCAUGGUGGGGGUUGGAAAGUUUCGGCGGUUGGGGAUGGACUCGCGGCUUAUCAGCUUGUUGGUGGGGUAGUGGCUUACCAAGGCUUUGACGGGUAGCCGGCCUGAGAGGGUGACCGGCCACAUUGGGACUGAGAUACGGCCCAGACUCCUACGGGAGGCAGCAGUGGGGAAUAUUGCACAAUGGGCGGAAGCCUGAUGCAGCAACGCCGCGUGCGGGAUGACGGCCUUCGGGUUGUAAACCGCUUUCGCCUGUGACGAAGCGUGAGUGACGGUAAUGGGUAAAGAAGCACCGGCUAACUACGUGCCAGCAGCCGCGGUGAUACGUAGGGUGCGAGCGUUGUCCGGAUUUAUUGGGCGUAAAGGGCUCGUAGGUGGUUGAUCGCGUCGGAAGUGUAAUCUUGGGGCUUAACCCUGAGCGUGCUUUCGAUACGGGUUGACUUGAGGAAGGUAGGGGAGAAUGGAAUUCCUGGUGGAGCGGUGGAAUGCGCAGAUAUCAGGAGGAACACCAGUGGCGAAGGCGGUUCUCUGGGCCUUUCCUGACGCUGAGGAGCGAAAGCGUGGGGAGCGAACAGGCUUAGAUACCCUGGUAGUCCACGCUGUAAACGGUGGGUACUAGGUGUGGGGUCCAUUCCACGGGUUCCGUGCCGUAGCUAACGCUUUAAGUACCCCGCCUGGGGAGUACGGCCGCAAGGCUAAAACUCAAAGGAAUUGACGGGGCCCCGCACAAGCGGCGGAGCAUGCGGAUUAAUUCGAUGCAACGCGUAGAACCUUACCUGGGUUUGACAUGGAUCGGGAGUGCUCAGAGAUGGGUGUGCCUCUUUUGGGGUCGGUUCACAGGUGGUGCAUGGCUGUCGUCAGCUCGUGUCGUGAGAUGUUGGGUUAAGUCCCGCAACGAGCGCAACCCUUGUUCACUGUUGCCAGCACGUUAUGGUGGGGACUCAGUGGAGACCGCCGGGGUCAACUCGGAGGAAGGUGGGGAUGACGUCAAGUCAUCAUGCCCCUUAUGUCCAGGGCUUCACGCAUGCUACAAUGGCUGGUACAGAGAGUGGCGAGCCUGUGAGGGUGAGUGAAUCUCGGAAAGCCGGUCUCAGUUCGGAUUGGGGUCUGCAACUCGACCUCAUGAAGUCGGAGUCGCUAGUAAUCGCAGAUCAGCAACGCUACGGUGAAUACGUUCCCGGGUCU